CGUGCCAGUCGCUGGAAACCUGCCUGAAAAGACAUAGAUCCCCGUGGAGCAGCAGCCAGAACCUGGAUCCCAAAGCAUCCCUGAAAGGGCUGCACCACGCCUGACUGAAGAAGAGAGGGAAAAAGGAAACAGUUCUGAUGACAGAAAUGGGGUCAUGCAACCUCUGGAGCUUUGUUACAAAAUGGAGAAAAUUGCUGGAAAACAUCCUCUGGGCUGUGCCCCCAGCCCUGUCAAAUUCUCUUCUGCCUUUCCCCACCUGGUGAAAUCCACAUUUCCAGCAGAACACAAAUCCUCA